rnacentral:lncRNA from 1 species
UGGGGCACAGCCAGGCCAUCACCCCGGGGCCACCGUCGCAGGCAGGUGGAGGCUGGCAGCCCAGAGGCAGACAGGGGCUUGGAGGCAGGGUGGGGAGCAAGGCCAAGGCCGCUCUCUGGCCCCCAGUGUCACAGGAUGACCUCAGCCCUGGCCUGGCCCCAGAGCAGGUUGGUUCACUGCUGGGCCCUGUGGACUUGUUCUCAUGCUUUGUCAGUGUCGAUGUCGAAAGCCCAAAGUGUUUCCCAAGUCCUGCUACCUUGGUAAGACUCAACCCUCAAUCUCAGUCUCCCCUGCAGAUCUCUGUGGGGCUUGGUCUGAACUUUCGUUAGGUGAGUGUGGAGUAGGCAUUAUUGUACAUUGUAGUCCUUUCUCCUCACCAUAGAACACAGAAAGGUGAUAAGUCACUCUGUGAUUGGCUGCAUCAUUCCAGGCUCUGUCCUGGGGGACGGAGCAGCAAGACACCCCUGCUGUCUGUGAAGAUAUGGCUGUUGGAAGGCAUGGGAGGGGCCUCGUAUCAGGGAACCAGUGAGUGGCCCCAGGCUGCCAGCCAACAAGAAAGCAGGGACCUCAGUCCUACAGCCACAAGGAACUGAAUUCUGCCAACAACCACGUGGCCUUCAAAGAGGACCUCAAGCUUCAGAAAGAAAUACCAACACCUUGGUGGCACUCUUGAAACCCCGAGCCACCCAGCGGAAUUGUGUGUGGGCUCCUGACCCCCCAAAACUGAGAUGGUGACACCAUCUAAGAGGCACUGGCCAGAGAGCUGGGCAGCAGCUGCCACCUGGGAUGAAGAUGGGCAGAGCUGGGCCACCAGGGCCGUGGUGUGAACACACCACUCUCCCUCCAGGGGCCGACCAACGAGCUCCGGGGGUCCAACCCUGGCUCCGGCUUUGGCAGAACUCUCACCUCGCCCCCAGACACCUGUGGGAGGAGCACAGUGCAGGUGGCGACAGCUCCCAGGGGCCGAGCAAGGCUGUGAGCCUCCGCACUAGGGGCCUCUCCCAUCUAGUCCUCCCCACACGCUGGGGUUAACGCAUUCUUAACAUAUGUAUGUUAACCCAACCAUAACAAGGUGCCACCAUCGUCCCGUCCACAAGGGAGGAGACAGUGGCUACAGGGUGGCAGGCAGCCCUUACAAGUGGGACUGGAAGCCUUUCCCUCCCGCCCUGUGGGAAGCCUGUGGCCGUCCCCGCCCUCGUCCAGCUGUGCCCUGUCCUCUCCAGCUGACCGUCCCCGUCAAUCUCAUCCCUGC